rnacentral:rRNA from 1 species
AUUGAACGCUAGCGGGAGGCCUUACACAUGCAAGUCGAACGGAGUGGCGAACGGGUGAGUAAUGUAUCGGAACGUGCCCAGUAGCGGGGGAUAACUACGCUAAAGCGUAGCUAAUACCGCAUACUAUUGGAGCGGCCGAUAUCGGAUUAGCGAGUGGGUGGGGUAACGGCUCACCAAGGCGACGAUCCGUAGCGGGUUUGAGAGGACGACCAGCAAAACGGGAACUAAGACACGGCCCAGACUCCUACGGGAGGAGGCAGUGGGGAAUUUUGGACAAUGGGGGCAACCCGGAUCCAGCCAGCCCGCGUGUGCGAUGAAGGCCUGCGGGUUGUAAAGCACUUGUGGCAGGAAAGCGUUACCUGCAGAAUAAGCACCGGCUAACUACGUGCCAGCAGCCGCGGUAAUAC